rnacentral:rRNA from 1 species
GACGAACCGUGCAAACGUUGUUCGGAAUCACUGGGCUUAAAGGGCGCGUAGGCGGCGCGGUAAGUCGCUUGUGAAAUCUCUGAGCUCAACUCAGAACGGCCAAGUGAUACUGCAGUGCUAGAGUGUGGAAGGGGCAAUCGGAAUUCUUGGUGUAGCGGUGAAAUGCGUAGAUAUCAAGAGGAACACCUGAGGUGAAGACGGGUUGCUGGGCCAACACUGACGCUGAGGCGCGAAAGCCAGGGGAGCAAACGGG